UACGAAGGGUGCAAGCGUUGUUCGGAAUCAUUGGGCGUAAAGCGCGCGCAGGCGGAUUGAUAAGUCAGGUGUGAAAUCUCGGAGCUCAACUCCGAAACUGCGCCUGAAACUAUUAGUCUAGAAUGUCGGAGGGGGCAGGGGAAUUUCACGUGUAGGGGUAAAAUCCGUAGAGAUGUGAAGGAACACCGGAGGCGAAGGCGCCUGCCUGGACGACUAUUGACGCUGAGGCGCGAAAGCGUGGGGAGCAAACAGG
rnacentral:rRNA from 1 species